rnacentral:rRNA from 1 species
AUUGAACGCUGGCGGCAGGCCUAACACAUGCAAGUCGAGCGGUAACAGGAAUAGCUUGCUAUUCGCUGACGAGCGGCGGACGGGUGAGUAACGCGUAGGAAUCUGCCCGGUAGUGGGGGAUAGCCCGGAGAAAUACCGGAUUAAUAACCGCAUACGCCCUAAGGGGGAAAGGACAGGGGAGUCUUCGGACCUUGCGCUAUCGGAUGAGCCUGCGUCGGAUUAGCUUGUUGGUGGGGUAA